CCAAUAGCGUAUAUUAAAGUUGUUGCAGUUAAAAAGCUCGUAGUUGAAUUUCGGGAUCAAUAUGCCGGUCAUGCCUUAGUAUGCACUGGUAUCUUUGAUUUCUUCCUUCUGACGAACUUUGAUGUCAUUAAUUUGGUGUCAUAGGGAAUCAGGACUGUUACUUUGAAAAAAUUAGAGUGUUUAAAGCAGGCUCAGGCUUG
rnacentral:rRNA from 1 species